rnacentral:rRNA from 1 species
GUGGGGAACAACGUACGGAAACGUACGCUAAUACCGCAUAAUUCUUACGAGAUAAAGCAGGGGAUUGAUUAAAUAUCAACCUUGCGCUUUUAGAUAAUUCCAUGCCGGAUUAGCUAGUUGGUAGAGUAAAAGCCUACCAAGGUUACGAUCCGUAGCUGGUCUGAGAGGAUGAUCAGCCACACUGGGACUGAGAUACGGCCCAGACUCCUACGGGAGGCAGCAGUGGGGAAUAUUGGACAAUGGGGGAAACCCUGAUCCAGUCAUGCCGCGUGUGUGACGAAGGCCUUUGGGUUGUAAAGCACUUUCAGCGAGGAAUAAAAAUUAUAAAAUAAAAAGUUAUAAUUAUGACUGUACUCGCAGAAGAAGCACCGGCUAACUCCGUGCCAGCAGCCGCGGUAAAACGGAGGGUGCAAGCGUUAAUCAGAAUUACUGGGCGUAAAGGGCAUGUAGGUGGUUUAUUAAGCUUUAUGUGAAAUCCCUAUGCUUAACAUAGGAACUGUAUAAAGAACUGACAAACUAGAGUGCAGAAGAGGAAGGUAGAAUUCCAGGUGUAGCGGUGAAAUGCGUAGAUAUCUGGAGGAAUACCAGUGGCGAAGGCGACCUUCUGGGCUGACACUGACACUGAGAUGCGAAAGCGUGGGGAGCAAACAGGAUUAGAUACCCUGGUAGUCCACGCUGUAAACGAUAUCAACUAGCCGUUUGAUUCUUAAAGAAUUUUGUGGCGUAGCUAACGCGAUAAGUUGAUCGCCUGGGGAGUACGGUCGCAAGGCUAAAACUCAAAUGAAUUGACGGGGGCCCGCACAAGCGGUGGAGCAUGUGGUUUAAUUCGAUGCAACGCGCAGAACCUUACCUACUCUUGACAUCCAAAGUACUUUACAGAGAUGUAAAGGUGCCUUAGGGAACUUUGAGACAGGUGCUGCAUGGCUGUCGUCAGCUCGUGUUGUGAAAUGUUG